rnacentral:rRNA from 1 species
UACGUAGGUGGCGAGCGUUGUCCGGAAUUACUGGGUGUAGAGGGCGUGUAGGCGGGAUUUUAAGUCAGAUGUGAAAUUCUGGGGCUCAACCCCAGCGCUGCAUCUGAAACUGAAGUUCUUGAGUGCUGGAGAGGAUAGUGGAAUUCCUAGUGUAGCGGUGAAAUGCGUAGAUAUUAGGAGGAACACCAGUGGCGAAGGCGGCUACCUGGACCAAGACUGACACUGAGGCACGAAAGCGUGGGUAGCAAAC